UGGCGGACGGGUGAGUAACGCGUGGGUAACCUGCCUCAUACAGGGGGAUAACAGUUAGAAAUGACUGCUAAUACCGCAUAAGCGCACAGGACCGCAUGGUCCGGUGUGAAAAACUCCGGUGGUAUGAGAUGGACCCGCGUCUGAUUAGCUGGUUGGCGGGGUAACGGCCCACCAAGGCGACGAUCAGUAGCCGACCUGAGAGGGUGGCCGGCCACAUUGGGACUGAGACACGGCCCAAACUCCUACGGAAGGCAGCAG
rnacentral:rRNA from 1 species